rnacentral:lncRNA from 1 species
AUACUUUUCUCUCUUUCUUUCUCUUUCUCCUCCUAGCUAUAUCUCAGCAAAAUCGAUCUUCUUUAUCCGUUCAUCAAAUUUUCGGCCAAAAUUCUAUGAAGAAAUUAAAAAUUUUCACCUCCGUUUGUUUUAUACCUAAUUCUUAUUUUUUUCCCCUUAUUAGUUUUCAAUAUUUUCUCCACUAUUAUAUAAAUUAGCUUCUUUUUUACUCUUAUCUUUUUCUACCUAGUUUAUCUUUUUUUUUUCUUUUUC